AUCGCUUCUCAGCCUUUUGGCUAAGAUCAAGUGUAGGCUUGACCAAAGAUUUUUGUUUUUCUAAUUUUUUCCUUAAACCUGUCAAGUCCAACUUAUAUUGGCUAAAUCUUCUAGGAUGGGUAGCUAUCACCUGGAGUGUGGUAGACCUACC
ensembl:snRNA LOC120095791 U2 spliceosomal RNA